GCUAAUCAACGUCAGGCGUCCUUAUGUACAGCCACCGUUGUUCUCAUAGAUAUGAAUGAGUAGAUAGGACACGCCCCUUUGAGCUGCGUGCUACAGCGAGGCUAAGCUAGUGGGGGAGAAGUUUCAGUGCAUUCCGUUGAUGUAGACGGCGUGAAAACGGAAACAAGAAGUAUGCCGUCUCACUGUACUGCAUACAGUUACACACUACGUCGUACGAUUGAGACAAGGAAACUUGGAAUGACUUUUCAUAGGUUUCCCAGAGACUAUGGGUUGAGGAGGAAUUGGAAGUUUGUCGGCUUAGACCUGGUGUCAUUCCAUCAGUGUUUAACUUCCCGGCUCAUCUUGGAAGAGUACGUGCCAGAAAGACCACGACCAAGCAGCCUUGAGAUCUUAGGCAGCGUCUCCCUCAGGUCCCUCUCUGUCUCCCCACACAUCCACCAACCACUGGAACACAUCUCCAAAGUUCUGCAGGGCCAGCUCAGCUUCCCCUCAGAAGAAGUGCUGCCACCUGCCAGAUGAAGGAGCCUUUUGAGAGGCAGCUGGCAUCGUGAUUGGACUGUACUUUGGUCUGUUCCAAUCCAGCUUCAGCUCCAGAGACGGCAGGCGGGACGAGUCAACGGAGGCCGGGUGGACGAAGGCAUGCAGCUGAGUACAAUCCAGAAAACAACAGAGGAGGAGUGAAGCGGCCCAGAGCCAGAACAAGCAGAGUAGCAUCUUGCUGUAAAAAGUCAGUCCAUCCUGGCCGACAUCAACACCUCUUCAUGACAACUUGUUCUGCCUCCGACCUCGUGGAAACUCCAGAAACUCGGGAAAACCUGUGGAGACUCGAAGAACUCGUGGAGACUCGAAGAACUCGUCGGGUGGGGGAAGGUGUGGUGGGGAGGUGGGGGAGUAGAGGGGUGAGGCCGCCACCCACCUCCCCGCCUACUCUCCGCCCUGACUCCACCCAGGCUCCGCCUCAGCUCCACCCAUGUGGUCACUUGGAAACUACGAUGCCAAAGGGACGACGAAUUUAUUUCUUUUUAUCUGAUCUGUAGCUCAGUGAGUUAAGGAUUUGCCUAUGGAGCUGCAGGUCGCUGGUUCAAGACCAGACACUUCUUAAAUUUUCUCAAAAUCCUGACAAAGACAAACAAAGAAAAAGGCCGGUGGCGGGUCUUGAACCUGCGACCUUCCACUUGGUAGUCCUCUUCUUAUCCCCCUGAGCUACUCGCUCAGAUACUAAAACUUCUUUUUUUUGCGCAUUUAUCAUCUAUUUUUUGUCAUUUUCGAGUUUUUUUUUAACUCGAGUCUCGUCUCGACCGUUUUUCUCAGGAGGUUGGACUUCAGCCUUUGUGCUGGAGGGUGGAACCCUCAGUUCCAAGACUUUCCAAAGCCUCCAGACCUCCCGAGUCCUCAGGACCUGAGCUUUCAGACAGUCUGAGGGCUGAAAUUUUCUAAGUCCCACAGUAGUUCUCUGUUAGUUUGAACCUUCAGACAGUCUGAGGACUGAAUUCUUAAAAGUUCUUGAGUAGUUCUCUGUUAGUUUGAACCUUCAGACAGUCUGAGGACUGAAAUCUUAAAAGUUUCUCAGUACUUCUCUGUUAGUUUGAACUUUCUGGUUAACAGAAGCCUUAAAACUUGUGACCAUGAGUCUUGAUUUCACAUUUAGACCAUCCAUCUGAGUUCUUCUCAGACCUUCACCUGUGGGUUUUUUAGAAAUCCUGAACAAACUUUGAUUCUCUUCACUGAACAGUAAAGUUUGUGGAGAUCAGAAGGUAACGUUAGUUUGAUCAAUGCCUUCAACUACUAGUAGACUUUAUCUGGAAAUCAGUUUUCUGAAAUGAGUUCUUAGUAAAUCUGUCCACAAUCAAACCAAGAACAUAGAAAGAGGAAAUGUUUGAAGAAACAACUUGAUGUUUUCAUUUCAGACUAGAAAACACUAUCUGUUUUUGCUCUUUUUGAUCCUUUUAUUGUCUCUUCUGUUUAAUUUGAUCUUCUAAAGUUUAACUGGUG
ensembl:lncRNA